ensembl:snoRNA U8 U8 small nucleolar RNA
UCAUCAGGUGGGAUAAUCUUUUCCUGUUCUUCCUUUUGGAGGACAGAUUAUAACAUGAUUAUUGGAGAUGCACGAAACAUGAUCAACAUCUAUACAUAAUCACGACUUGAAACAUCCUGAUUGCUCCUAUCUCAU